UACGAAGGGGGCUAGCGUUGCUCGGAAUCACUGGGCGUAAAGGGUGCGUAGGCGGGUCUUUAAGUCAGGGGUGAAAUCCUGGAGCUCAACUCCAGAACUGUCUUUGAUACUGAGGAUCUUGAGUCCGGGAGAGGUGAGUGGAACUGCGGGUGUAGAGGUGAAAUUCGUAGAUAUUCGCAAGAACACCAGUGGCGAAGGCGGCUCACUGGCCCGGUACUGACGCUGAGGCACGAAAGCGUGGGGAGCAAACAGG
rnacentral:rRNA from 1 species